rnacentral:rRNA from 1 species
CCUACGGGAGGCAGCAGUGGGGAAUCUUGGGCAAUGGGCGCAAGCCUGACCCAGCAACGCCGCGUGAAGGAAGCAGCCUUUCGGGUUUUAAACUUCUUUCUCAGGGACGAAGACAGUGACUAUACCUGAGGGAUCCGCCACGGCUAACUACGUGCCAGCCGACGCGGUAAUACGGAGGUGGCCAGCGUUAGCCGGAUUUAUUGCGUGGAAAGGGCGUGUAGGCGGGAGGGCAAGUAUGAUGUGAAACCUCAGGGCUCAACCCUUAGCCUGCAUUUGACACUGUGUGUCUUGAGUGCUGGAGAGGCAAUCGGAAUUCGGGGGGUAGCGGGGAAAGGCGUAGAGAUAAGGAGGAACACCAGUGGCGAAGGCGGAUUGCUGGACAGUAACUGACGCUGAGGCGCGAAAGCGAGGGGAGCAAACAGGAUUAGAUACCCCUGUAGUC